UACGGGGGGGGCAAGCGUUGUUCGGAAUUACUGGGCGUAAAGGGCUCGUAGGUGGCCAACUAAGUCGGACGUGAAAUCCCUCGGCUUAACCGGGGAACUGCGUCCGAUACUGGUUGGCUUGAGUUUGGGAGAGGGAUGCGGAAUUCCAGGUGUAGCGGUGAAAUGCGUAGAGAUUUGGAGGAACACCAGUGGCGAAGGCGACUUUCUGGUCUGUAACUGACGCUGAGGCGCGAAAGCGUGGGGAGCAAACAGG
rnacentral:rRNA from 1 species